GUACUGAUAUGAUGUUUCAAGCACAGUUAGGAGUCUAAUACAAAAACGUAAUAUUGUAAACGAAUCAUAGUGUUGACUUAUAUUCAUUAUGAAUAUACAAUCUAUACUUUACUUUAGUGCACUCUACUACGGAGGUUUUAUCCCAGUGGCUUCCGUAACCCCAAAAUUAUAACGGUUACAUUUGGUGAAGAAUCCAACGAUCCAAUCCUCUCUCUGUAUGAACAGACUCAGUCUACGAACAAGGUCACUUGAUAGAGAUACUGCCGCCAAGCGAGAGUCAUCACAAUCUUCAAGGACGUCACAGAACCAGUUCAGACAAGACAUGGCAGUGUGAUAUCGAAAUAUAUCUUCACCGAUAAGGGAGACAAUUCAAUACUUUCACGAAGGCGGAGCAGGUUGAGUUGAUGUCUUGUGAUAAUUAACUUAGACAACAACCAUGUAAAUGUGCUGUCGCCAAUAUAAUCUACCAAACGAUAAAAACAGAUGAAAAGUGGAGGAAGCGCACAUAUACGUGAAUGGCAAGUUCAAGCAACCAAUGUUAUAUUUCUAAAGCAUUAGUAUUAUUUCUUUUGAAAACUUUAGUAUAGCUAGCUUGUUCUAGCUGUACGUGACUCUUGUAUGGCUUGAAUAUUAGGGUAACUAGUAAUUCUUAAGGCAACAAUGGGAGGUAAUUAAUGAAUAAGAGAAAUAUUUUUUCCUGAAAAAAAUAAUAGAAGUUCGGCACUGUGAGUGAUAUAAAGAAAUAUCUCGCUGACAAUUUUCAGUAUUUCACCAGUUGGCAUGAAAUAAAUAACAAUUUUGGUCAUUUUCGCUAUUAAAUAUUUACAGUGUAUGCAAGUCAAAUAAGAUUUAAGAAGUUUUAGAAAACUAUGAAAGCUCAUCAGUGACAAUUGAAGUGUGAAAUAUAGAUCUACUAGUUUAUGUUGAGUCUGGCAUGAAAUAUGAUCUUUGUAACAUAUAACGCUAGAGGCUGCAUUGUACCUACAUGCCAAGGUGGCGAUUUGAAAAUCUUGAGAACAUAGCGAACUGAGGUUAGGGUCUGUAAAAUACUUUGCAGACCUAUUCCGACGCUACGCUUACCUAUACUAUAUUUUGCUUAUAUGCCUCAACAAAAAACCUUUUUCUUCGAGCCUUAAUAUAUUUGAAAUCAUUAAACAUUUCCGGAGCGGAAAACAAUUGGAUAAUCCCAUCGAAAUUACAACUCGUUACGCAGUUGUAAUAUAUCAGUGCAUUACGAUGUAAUGUCUAGCCCCAAGCGUAUUCUGAAAAUGGUUUCGAAGCACUGUUACAGAUGUAGAAUUCUUUCCCGCCGUGCUGGCUGACAAAAGGUCCCUCGUGCAUGAAAUUAUGCCUGGAGGCUAGUUAAGAAAACAAUAUUUAAGAUUAUUCACAUUUAUUUGUUCUGCUUGAAAAUACAUGUAUGUAUGUAUGUAUGUAUGUAUGUAUGAAUGUGGUUAAUGUUAUCAAUGUAUUUCAAAUGAAGAAUAACGUAGAAAACAGAUAUAUGAAGCUCUUUUAAUAGUAUAUAAAAAGAAGCAGUUGUGCAUUUAAGUCAUUCCUCGCUAAAACUGUUACAGAUUGAUUAUCGUUUUGCUAAGAAAUUUUAGUUAAAGUCUUCUAUCAUUUGGUUUAGAGUUUGUCCAAGAUUUCUUUACAUAUUUAAAUUUCGAGUCAUAAGGUCUUAUAGACAAUAAAAUGUUAUAUUGAGAAUCAGCAAAAAUGAUAAGUGAGCCGUGCCAUGAGAAAAUCAACAUACUGGGUUUGCGACCAGCAUGGAUCCAGACCAGCCUGCGCAUCCACGC